AAGCAACCGACGGUUCCCCACUGCUCCCAGGAGCGGUUACCUGGGCACUCUGUGCCCCUCCUUCCUGUUCGGGCCCAGGCCGAGGACCUGCCAGUAGGGCUCAGUUGCCUGGAGCCCGUUCAGCCCAUCCCCCAGUUCACUUUGCUUGUGGGAUCUCCCCGUUGCUCCUGCCCGUGGACUGAGUGGCAGGCCAUCCUACAAGCACCCGGACACUUGACAUCAGUGGUGUCAAGACAACUCUAAGAAGGUUUUCGGUGAUCCUGCAAGCCCUGCGUUCCUUCCUGGGAUCCUGCCUUCAAUUUGAUUGCACAGGUACCACAGCAAGCCAGUGCUGUGUGCUCCGAGUUCCAGGGCGUCCUCCAGCUCAGCCACUGCACUGAGAACAUGGACUCUCUGUGGGGCCCAGGAGCCGGGAGUCACCCCUUUGGGGUCCACAACACCCGGCUGUCCCCAGACUUGUGUCCAGGGAAGAUAGUGUUGAGGGCCCUCAAGGAGAGCGGGGCAGGGAUGCCUGAGCAGGACAAGGACCCUAGAGUCCAAGAGAAUCCUGGUGAUCAGAGAAGGGUCCCCGAGGUCACCGGGGAUGCACCGUCUGCAUUUCGGCCCCUGCGGGACAAUGGAGGCCUCUCUCCCUUUGUGCCCAGGCCCGGGCCUCUGCAGACAGACCUCCAUGCCCAGAGGUCAGAAAUCAGAUAUAACCAGACAUCCCAGACCUCCUGGACGAGCUCCUGCACCAACCGAAAUGCCAUCUCCAGCUCCUACAGCUCCACGGGAGGCUUGCCGGGGCUAAAGCGGAGGAGGGGGCCAGCCUCAUCCCACUGCCAGCUGACCCUCAGUUCCUCAAAGACAGUGAGUGAGGACAGGCCUCAGGCUGUCUCUUCAGGUCACACCCAGUGUGAAAAGGCAGCAGAUAUAGCACCAGGGCAGACACUCACCCUCAGGAAUGACUCCUCCACAUCCGAGGCCUCUAGGCCCAGUACACACAAGUUUCCCCUGCUGCCACGCAGGCGAGGGGAGCCUUUGAUGCUGCCACCUCCCUUAGAGCUGGGGUACCGGGUCACUGUUGAAGACCUGGACCGGGAGAAGGAGGCGGCAUUCCAGCGCAUCAACAGUGCACUGCAGGUUGAGGACAAGGCCAUCUCGGACUGCAGACCCUCAUGGCCUUCCCACACUUUGUCCUCACUUGCAACAGGGGCUUCUGGUCUGCCUGCUGUUUCUAAAGCAUCCAGUAUGGAUGCACAGCAGGAGACACACAAGUCCCAAGACUGCCUGGGCCUACUGGCCCCCUUAGCAUCUGCUGCAGAGGUCCCCUCUACAGCUCCCGUGUCUGGGAAGAAGCACAGACCACCAGGCCCCCUGUUCUCCUCCUCAGAUCCCCUUCCUGCCACCUCUUCUGAUUCCCAGGACUCAGCCCAGGUCACCUCGCUGAUUCCUGCCCCCUUCCCAGCUGCAAGCAUGGAUGCAGGCAUGAGAAGAACAAGGCGUGGCACUUCUGCUCCUGCAGCUGCCACAGCAGCCCCUCCCCCCUCCACACUGAACCCCACGUUGGGGUCACUACUGGAGUGGAUGGAGGCCCUUCACAUUUCUGGGCCUCAGCCACAGCUGCAGCAGGUGCCCAGAGGUCAGAACCAGAGAUCCCAGACCUCCCGGACCAGCUCGUGCCCCAAAUGAAAUGCCAUCUCGAGCCCCUACAGCUCUACGGGAGGCCUCCCGGAACGAAAGCGGAAGAGGGGCCAGCCUCAUCCCACUGCCAGCUGACCCUCAGUUCCUGAAACACACUGAGUGAGGACGGACCUCAGGCUGUCUCUUCGGGUCACAUCCAGUGUGAAAAGACGGCAGAUACAGCACCAGGGCAGACACUCGCCCCCAGGGGUGGCUCCCCCAGAUCCCAGGCCUCUAGGCCCCGUAGAUGCAAGUUUCCCCUGCUGCCACGCAGGCGAGGGGAGCCUUUGAUGCUGCCACCUCCCUUAGAGAUGGGGUACCGGGUCACUGCUGAAGACCUGGACCGGGAGAAGGAGGCGGCCUUCCAGCGCAUCAACAGUGCACUGCAGGUUGAGGACCAGGCCAUCUCGGACUGCAGACCCUCACGGCCUUCCCACACUUUGUCCUCACUUGCAACAGGGGCUUCUGGUCUGCCUGCCGUUUCUAAAGCACCCAGUAUGGAUGCACAGCAGGAGACACACAAGUCCCAAGACUGCCUGGGCCUAGUGGCCCCCCUGCAUCUGCUGCACAGGCCUGUAGUCCCAGCUACUUGGGAGGCUGAGGCAGGAGAACGGCAUAAACACGGGAGGCAGAGCUUGUAGUGAGCUGAGAUCGCGCCACUGCAAUCCAGCCUGGGUGACAGAGCCAUACUCCGUCUCAAAAAAAAAAGAAAAAGAAAAAAAGUUCUUGUGACAUUUGUGUAUGAAAUCAGCCUUCACUACAUGGAUAGGACCAGCACGCUUCCGCGGCACGACUCUGCAAUCUUACUACAUUUUUUUUAUUUUGUAUUUUUUUUAUUCCUUUUGAGACAGUCUCACUCUGUCACCCAGGCUGAAGUGCAGCCGAGAUCUUGGCUCACUGCAACCUCCACCUCUUGGGUUCAAGCAAUUCUCCUGUCUCAGCCUCCCAAGUAGCUGGGACUACAGGCACACGUCAAAACGCCUGGCUAAUUUUUGUAUUUUUAGUAGAGAUGGAGUUUUGCCAUAUUGGUCAGGCUGGUCUCGAACUCCUGACCUCAGGUGAUCGACCUGUCUUAGCCUCCCGAACUGCUAGGAUUACAGGUGUAUGUUUAUUUAUUUAUUUAUUUAAGAUGGAAUCUUGCUCUGUAUUUAUUAAUUUAUUUAUUUGAGAUGGAGUCUUGCUCCAUCGCCCAGGCUAGAGUGCAGUGGUGCAAUCUCGGCUCCCUGCAACCUCUGACUUCCAGUUUCAAGUGAUUCUCCUGCCUCAGUGUCCCAAGUAGCUGGGAUUACAGGUGCCUGCCACCACAGCUGGCUAAUUUUUGUAUUUUUAGUAGAGACAGUGUUUCACCAUCUUGGCCAGGCUGGUCUCGGGCUCCUGACCUCAUGAACCACCUGCCUCAGCCUCCCAAAGUGUUGGGACUACAGGCCUAAGGCACCAUGCUCGGCCAUAUUUAUUUAUUUAAAUAUUUAGAGACAAAGUCUUGCUCUGUCACCCAGGCUGGAGUGCAGUGGCGCCAUCUCAGCUCACUGCAGCCUCCGCCUCCGAGGUUUAAGCGAUUCUCAUGCCUCAGCCUCCUGAGUAACUGGGACUACGGGUACUCACCACCAUGCAGGGAUAUUUUUUUCUAUUUUUUUUAGAGACACGGUUUCACCAUGUUGGCCAGGCUGGUCUCAAACUCCUGACCUUAGGUGAUCUGACAGCCUCGUCCUCUCAAAGUACUGGGAUUACAGGCAUGAGCCACUGUGCCCGGCCUCUCACUACAUUUAAGUGACGCCAUGGCUCAUGCCUGUAAUCCCGGCACUUUGGGAGGCCAAGGCAGGUGGAUCACUUGAGGUCAGGAGUUCGACAUGAGCCUGGCCAACAUGGGGAAACCCCGUCUCUAGUAAAAAUGCACAAAUUAGUCAGGCAUGGUGGUACAAGCCUGUAGGCCCAGCUACUUGGAAGGCUGAGGCAGGAGAAUCACUUUAACCGGGAGGCAGAGGUUGCAGUGAGCCAAUAUCAUGUCACUGCACUCCAGCUUGGGUGACAGAGUGAGACACCGUCUCAAAAAAAAAAAAAGAAAACAGAAAAACAUAUGAUGCCAGGGCGUCUCGGCCUCAAUACCUGCAUGAGCACAGUCAUGUCCAGGCCAGGGCUGCUGGUCGAGGUCCGGCCCCAUCUCUUUCAGCAGAAAGGGAGUAAGCUUGCCGGGAGGCUGGGGGACAAGAUCCCAGGAUCUCAGCCUCCGCUCAUGGAUCAGCUCCGAGACCCCGAGUGAGCUGGGGGUGCUCUGUGCGCAUUGGUUUCCCCAGCUGUCAAGUAAAGGGAUUGGAUGAGGAAGUCUUGUCAAGGUGGAAUGAUCUCAGAUUUGGGGCAGCAGUGAAUGAUCCCGCUCCCUGAGCCAUGCCAGUGGCCCGGCCUCGGCUCAACACAGCCCCAACACUCUGGAAUGGGGAUGAGGGGGCAGUCAGCUCUUGCUCCUAGUAAGAGAGAUGCAAUAGGGCUCUGUGGCUGAGCUGGGUGCCUUGCCUCACACCUGUAAUCCCAACCUUUGAGAGGCUGAGGCGGGAGGAUUGCUUGAGGCCGGGAAUUUUGAGAAUAGCCUGGACAACAUAGCCAGACCCCAUGUCUACAAAAUAAUAAUAAAACACACAGCUAUAGUCCAAGCUACUUGGCAGGCUGAGGCAGGAAGGUCCCUUGAGUCCGGGAAUUGGAGGCUGCAUUGAGCUAUAAUCGCACCACUGCACUCCAGCUUGGGUGACAAAGUGAGACCCUGUCUCUAAAAGAAAAAAAAAUUGUCCUGUGAGCAUGGGUUUGAUCUUCAAACAGGACCCGGAGGGUAGGGACAGACAGUGCUGUCACCCUUAGGUGCUGAACACUCAGAAACGGGCCAGCGGCAGUCCUUUCCUCACCUGCAGACACCAGAUUGGGCAGAACAGCACGUGGCACUUGCAGCUCUUGCAGUGAGGGCAGAACCCAGUGUCAACCCUUCUGCCUGUGGGAGGGGCUGCUGAGGCCUGCGGAGAGGCCAGGGUGGAGGCUCGUCCCCUUGUCCAGCCCUUGGCGUGGUCUCCACCAGGUCCCCAGCCCACCAGUGUAGGGCGCCCCUGAGCCUGCUGCUGCCACGGGCCCUGUCUCUACCCAGGACGUCCCCCGACCCUCGCAGUGUCAGGGAAAUGAUCAUGGUGGUGGUGACACUCUGCAGGCAGGGCUGCUGAGAGAAGCUGAGAAGGGUCACACUGCAGGCAGGGGCCCGUGUGACAAGCCCCUCUCACCCCGAGAGAGCUGACCAGGCAGCUCACGAGCAGAGCCACAUCCCGGGAGUCCGAGAAAGGUCCUGGCUGGGCUCAGCCACCUCACUGGCCACGGGCAGCCUUUGUCGUGUGAGCCUUGCUCUCCUGGGGAGGCUCAGGCUGACGGCUGAUGUGGGCAUUGCCGAGGGUAACCUGUGGCCCAGUGUAUAUGGCCGGGUCUCCUCAAGCUGCAUUCAUUCAAGUAGGACCCAGGGUGCAUGCCCAUCUCCAGCCCAGGGCAGCUCCCCUGUAAGCUGGGUGAGCUACUGAAGCCAAGGUGGGAGGCAGCUGACAUCACCACCCACGGCCCAUGCGGAGGUGGCAGAAAGGCUGGACUCAGCAGCAACACCAAAUCCCGGACCAGGCAGAAACCACCCAAGACUGAGGGGCUCAUGCCAGAGCGGUGGCCACAGGUAAGAACCCGGGCCCAGGCUGUGUGGCAGGAAUCCUCCAUGUCCCAGGGCUUAGCAUAGCAAAGGAAGACCAGCCGGGUCACCCUGGUGGCCAUCUGUCCCUGUCCCACCUGCAGAGUCAGAACAGCCUCUCCCCAGUGGGGAUCCUCUCUCUCUGCCAAAGCAACAGCGGUCCCUGCCCCAACCAGACUACCCCACUCAGUGGAGUUACGGAUGCUGCUCCAGCAUCCUAACACUGCCCAGCUGGUGCCUGCCUGUGCUCACCCACACCCCCCAGGCCGGCCUUCCCUGCAGCCUGGGCUUGGCCACCUUGGCCUGAUUGAGCACUGAGGCCUCCUGGGCACCCAGCCCUAUCACUGCACCUGCUGCUUCCAGCCCCACCCCACCGGCUCUGGGGUUCUUCCCAGCGGCGCUGAUCAUGAAGUCAACAUGCACGCAAGUCGUCUCAGGAAACUUUUUAAUGAAAGUGUCGGCCACGGUGGUGUGUAGGUGGCUGAGCUCAGAUUGCAGCUGCUAAGACACCAGCCACUUACCAAGAGAAAGCCAGGCUGCUUCAAACCCAGGGCCCGCGGCAAAAAAGCAUCACUUCCGGCCGGGGAGUCUGGAAGCCACGCCUUGUGGGAGGUCACACUGGCAUCUAGGCCUUCGCCUGCACUGCAGAAGGAGAGCCGGGUCCCCUCCUGGAGAACGCUGCGUUCCCCAGCCCCACACCGGCUUUGCCACCACACAGGCUGUUGAGGCAGGAGGCGGAGACUUCAGAACCCACUCCUGAGAACAGCGGAGCCAGGCGCUUAGAGGAAGACCAAAUGCUGCCAGGACACGGAUUGUCCAGGGAUUACAUUCCAGCAUCUUAUUAGAGAUGGGGUUUGCUACAUUGCCCAGACUGGUCUCAAACACCUGGGUUCAGUUGUCCUGCCUCGGCCUCCCAAAGUGCUGGGAUUACAGGCAUGAGCCACCACACCCGAACACUUGGGGUGGUUUUAAGCCCCCAGCAAGGUGCACCAGCAGGACCAGGAGGUGGCCUGGGCACCCCCUAUCACUCCCAUCCAUGCAAACCUAGAGGACCGAAGCAGAGGGUGCUGUUUCAACGCCACCACCAGGAGAGAGGCAGAGGGGCUGUGCCGUGCUAGAGUCCUCAGGGAGGGAGUGACCUCGACCCUGGCUGUGCUGCAAGCUGACUCCAGCCUUGGGGUCAGCAGCACCCGGCGAACAGCAGCAGGAGGAGCCGCUAGAGCAGCUGCUCAUGGGCAGAGCUGCCCUCGGGCAACUCCUGCCACCACCCCCUCCCCAGGGAGCCCAAGGCAGGGGAGGCUCAGCAUGGAAUGAAACAGGGGAGUGAGGGACACAAGGAGGUGGGAAGUGGGAGGGUCCCAGCCCCACCAAGUACACAGAGACCCCCUCGUCGUCCUGGACACCACAGGGGCACCUGCAGGCUGGGAGACCAGGUCCUCUGUGCAUGGGCCCGGGAGGCAGACCUGCCCUAAGGGUGAUGCAGAGGCCACAGGUGCUGCACGCACCAGCACCCGCUCUAGACAUCAGCCUCCAGGUUGACUAAGGGUCAGGUCAUGUUUGAAACCAUGCUUGGCUGGACCAGGACCCAUGGCAAGAGCACCCAGGCACCCUCCUUCAGCCCUGGUCUGCAGGAAGGAGGACAGCAGACUUUAGGACCCCAUAGCACAGCAGUGCUGACUAUUUCAGCCUCUUGGUCUCCUUGAGGAGUAGGGAUGGGGAGCCCUCUGGGGAUGGGCAAGGCCUUCCAGGACAGGCUCGGUUCUGGUCCCCUGCUUUUUGAGGUUGGGUUAAAAUGCCGACCACGGCAGAGGGGUUACAGCUCAGGUUCCCACACCUCGCUUUUCACAGCCUCCGAGGGCAGCAGUGCACGUGGAGGAGACGUCUCCCAUGAGGCCAAGGCCUCCAGUGCUCACCGAUGCCCUCUGCGAAGUUGGGGUAGAACUCGUCAGUGAAGAGGGGCUCGGGCAGCUCACGGAAGUACAGCUUCAGCGUGCCUGCGAUGGCGUUCACGUCCAUCUCGCUCAUCAUCACCGACACGUCCUUGUUAUCUGGAAAGAGCACGGAAAUGCAGCGGCCUCCUUGAAGAUCCUGAUAAAUGAAGAAAAGACACAGAGAAGGAUGUGACAUGCCUGGGCCAUGGAGCACUCUGAGAUCUCAUCGCGGACACCACUGCCCACACCUCCAUCCCGUCCUGCGCAGGCCGACACUCACUGACGUUGAAGCCUGCCUUCAGUGCCUGGAUGUCCGUGGCCACACCGGACACGCGGUAGAUGCCCACCUCCUCCAUGCCUCGGCGCUCGAUCUCCUCCACGCACUGGCGCAUGAUGUAGGGCACCUUGGACCUCUCUCUCCUGCGGGAGGAGGGAAUGUUCUCAGUGUCCUAACAGCCCCGCUUGGGCCAUAACACAGGAGGCCUGCUCCCUAUCUGCACACCCGGAGGUGGGGUGAGGACGGUGACGAAGGUACCCAGGUCUGGGGCUGCACACAGAGCCUUCUGCAUGCCUGUCCUCCCUCUGCAAGCUCUGUCCUCAUGGCAUGUGCUUUCUCAGGAACCUUUCAAGCGGCCAGAACCCCUGCGAAUCACACAUGACCUUUGCGGGAAGGUCAGGAGGCCUGUCUAAGUCAAGUCAGCACAGGAAGGGCAUCUGACAGAUUCCAGGCCUGGGGUUAGCAGCCUGUGCCCCCGGCUGGGAGGUCAGACCCGGUGUUGGUCCUGCCACCCACGUGCUGUGUGAGAGGAGAAUCCCUGACCCCUGCCCUGGGCCUUAACACACAUCCGACGAAUGAAUGAAGGGUUGCCUCAGCACCGGUGCUCCAAGUCCUGCGAUGCUAAGUGCUUUUCUCCUCUGAGUCUUAGCAAUGGACAAUUCCAAUACCUCCACACAGGACACUAGAGUAAGAAUCCUUCACAGUUAGAACGCAGUGCUGUGCGGAGGCCCUAACUUGAGUUCUGUUUUGCACCUGGAUUUACCAGCACAUCAAAGCUGCUUCGCAAGCCCCCUCAUUAGCAGGGCUUAUCUGGGGGAGCUGCUCAUGGAGUCCUCGCUGCUCAUGCCCACAGCCCUCCCAGAGUGCUAUGCGAGUGGCUGCCGUGCAGUUGGGGGUGGGGCGUGGUGUUUAGACACAGAUAGGAGUCCAGGGUAUGACUGAUGGAGGCCCCGGCCCACGUGACCAGCAAGGUCAGAGGCCCAGCCAGAUUCCAUCCUGGGGAAGCAAAUGAAUUCUCAGAGGAAGUGGUCUAUGUCUGCAUGAACUGCUCUCAAACCAAACAGGCUUCUCUUGGCAACUGACUCGUGACAAAGGGGCAGGGGUUAUGGCCAUUCAACAGGAAUCUGGGACCGUGACUAAUUCCAAGCAAGGGCAGAAAACCCUGCACUUGGGCAGUUCCUGGAGCCAGCCUACUGCUUCCAAGCAAGGUGGCAAGGACAUUCCUGAGCUGGUUUGCAGGAAACACAGGAGGUAGCUGAAGACGCCGUGUUCCCUGGGGCCUGACCUCACCGUGCAGUGGCCAUGCACAGAGAGGAGAGACCCACACAUGCUCUUUUCUGCAGAAACAGCUGAAGGGACAGGCACCCUCAGUGCGUGAGCCCAAGCCCCUCCCCACUCACUUGGUGACCACAGCAAUCUUGACUCCGAAGACCCCUGUCUGUUUUCGGGACGGCAUCCUCUUCAAGCUGAACUCCCUGCUGUUGAACUUGACCGAGAGCUUUACUUCGAUCUACAGUGGGGAGAAGGGGCACAGUCCUCUAAUCCUUCUGGUCCUCACAGCCCAAGGUCCCAAGGACCCCUGGGAGUCUCAUCAAAUAUUUCCACCCCCAAGGCAUGCAGAGGUCUCAGCAUGAGGUGGAGCCGCCCCUCGGGGAAGCCCCUAGUCUACUUCAGCAAGAGCCAGGAUUGUUGAAGAUGAUAUAAACGACUGGUUUCUGCAGAAGCACCUCCUAAAAUCCCCGCUGCUUCUCUUGCUUGCUUGCUUUUUUUUUAGAUAUGGGAUCUUGCAAUGUUGCCCAGGCUGUAAUCAAACUCUUGGGCUCCAGUGAUUCUCCUGGCUCAGCCUCCAGAGUAGCUGAGAUUAUAGUGUACUGUGACCAGCUUUCUCUUAGUAACAAUUAAAAAUUAAGAAGGAAAGACAGAAUAAUGUAAGAAAAAGCCAAGAAUCUCAAAUAUUAACAUUUUACCAUUUAUACCCGG